UACAGAGGGGGCAAGCGUUGUUCGGAAUUACUGGGCGUAAAGGGCGCGUAGGCGGCCUUCUAAGUCGAACGUGAAAUCCCCGGGCUCAACCCGGGAACUGCGUCCGAUACUGGAAGGCUUGAAUCCGGGAGAGGGAUGCGGAAUUCCAGGUGUAGCGGUGAAAUGCGUAGAUAUCUGGAGGAACACCGGUGGCGAAGGCGGCGAGUCCUGGACCGGCAUUGACGCUGAGGCGCGAAAGCGUGGGAGCAAACAGG
rnacentral:rRNA from 1 species